UUUGAUUUUUGAUUCUUGUGGGGACUUAAACUGAUGCGAAAAAACUAGGGUUAUUUUCCACCCUUUUUGCAGCAAUCAAUGACGAUCGACUAAGACAAGAUGCCAUUAACCUUUCUCUGGGUGUUCGAAAGCUUUGAAGAGAUGAAAUAUAGCAAUAAUCCAAAUUUUUCCUGCUGAUUUUGGGCGAAUUGAUCUCCAAGUUGGUUUUGGAGCACUAGAUCCCUUAUCUGAGAUAACCAAAUGCAUAAGUUUAUAAUGAAAGAGAAGCUGAGUUGUUAUAUAUCGAUAGUGGCUGAGUCAUUUUUCUUUUCUUUUAAAAAGCCACGUAGGAAAAAGCUAAUGUUCAUAUUAACAGAACUAAGGUACAGUUAACAGACUGAUCCAAUUAAAAAA
rnacentral:lncRNA from 1 species